rnacentral:rRNA from 1 species
GUAGGUGGGCAAGCGUUGUCCGGAAUUAUUGGGCGUAAAGCGCGCGCAGGGCGGUCCUUUAAGUCUGACGUGAAAGCCCACGGGCUCAACCGUGGAGGGUCAUUGGAAACUGGGGGACUUGAGUACAGAAGAGGAAAGCGGAAUUCCAAGUGUAGCGGUGAAAUGCGUAGAGAUUUGGAGGAACACCAGUGGCGAAGGCGGCUUUCUGGUCUGUAACUGACGCUGAGGCGCGAAAGCGUGGGGAGCAAACAGGAUUAGAUACCCUGGUAGUCCACGCCGUAAACGAUGAGUGCUAAGUGUUAGGGGGUUUCCGCCCCUUAGUGCUGCAGCUAACGCAUUAAGCACUCCGCCUGGGGAGUACGGCCGCAAAGGCUG